UCAAAUGAACUAAGGCAUAUGGUGGAGACCUAGGCACUCAGAGACGAUGAAGGGCGCAGAUACCGGCGAAACGCUUCGAGGAGCUGGCAACAAGCUUUGAUCCGAAGAUCCCCGAAUAGGGCAACCUGUAAAACUUCCAGCAGAAUUCAUAUGUUGGAAAGAGGCAACCCAGUGAAUUGAAACAUCUUAGUAGCUGGAGGAAAAGAAAGCAAACGCGAUUCCCGUAGUAGCGGCGAGCGAACCGGGGUUAGCCUAAACGAUUAUUCAGUAAUCGGGUAGUGGGAAGACAAGUUCUAUUUUAUUUUAGAAAUAAAAUAGAAACUCAUAAACAAUUCAAAAAAACGAAACAGCUGAAUCCUGUACCAUAGAUGGUGAAAGUCCAGUAGUUGUCAAAUGAAAGAAAAAUGUCUUAUCCCGAGUAGCAUGGGACACGUGGAAUCCCGUGUGAAUCAGCGAGGACCACCUCGUAAGGCUAUAAUACUCCUGAGUGACCGAUAGUGAAAGAGUACCGCGAGGGAAAGGUGAAAAGUACCCCCGUAGGGGAGUGAAAUAGAACAUGAAACCGUAUGCUGACAAGCAGUGGGAGGGGUUAUGGCCCUGACCGCGUGCCUGUUGAAGAAUGAGCCGGCGACUUAGAGGGAGUGGCUUAAGGUUAAGGAGUUGUAUCCGGAGCCAACGCGAAAGCGAGUCUGAAUAGGGCGUUUAAGUCAUUUCCUCUGGACCCGAACCCGGGUGAUCUAAUCAUGACCAGGAUGAAGCUUGGGUAACACUAAGUGGAGGUCCGAACCGACCGAUGUUGAAAAAUCGGCGGAUGAGUUGUGAUUAGGGGAGAAAUUCCAAUCGAACUCGGAGCUAGCUGGAUCUCCCCGAAAUGCGUUGAGGCGCAGCGGCAACGAUGAGCUAUCAUGGGGUAAAGCUACUGUUUCGAUGCGGGCUGCGAAAGCGGUACCAAGUCGUGGCAAACUCAGAAUACAUGAUACUGUUUACCGUAAGCCAGUGAGACUGUCGGUGAUAAGAUCGAUAGUCAAGAGGGAAACAGCCCAGAUCACCAGCUAAGGCCCCUAAAUGGUUACUAAGUGGAAAAGGAUGUGAGAAUGCUGAAACAACCAGGAGGUUUGCUUAGAAGCAGCCACCCUUGAAAGAGUGCGUAAUAGCUCACUGGUAAAGCGUUCUUGCGCCGACAAUGGCCGGGACUAAGUAACCUGCCGAAGCUGUGAGAUUUCUUUUUUUAAGAGAUCGGUAGGGGAGCGUUCCGUUCUUGGGUGAAGUUUUAGUGUAAACUAGGAUGGACAAAACGGAAGUGAGAAUGUCGGCUUGAGUAACGAAAACAUUGGUAAGAAUCCAAUGCCCCGAAAACCGUUGGGUUCCUCCACUAGGCUCGUCCAUGGGGGGUUAGUCAGGUCCUAAGGCUAGGCCGAAAGGCGUCGUCGAUGGCAAACAGGUUAAUAUUCCUGUACUGAUUUUAUUGGGAACAAGUGACGAAGGAGGCUAAACUAGGACUGCUUCUGGAUUUCAGUGGAAGCGUUUAGGCGUUGAGAGUUAGAAAAAAAGCUAUACUCGAGCUAAGACGUGAUCCGUAAACUCGUGCAAACGAGUUUAUCUAGUGAUGUCAAACUUCCAAGAAAAGCUUGAGCUCCUUAACAAUAAAAUCACCUGUACCUAAAACCGACACAGGUAGGUUGGUAGAGAAUACCAAGGGGCGCGAGAGAACUCUCUCUAAGGAACUCGGCAAACUGGCCCCGUAACUUCGGAAGAAGGGGCGCCCUUUAACAAAGGGUCGCAGUGACCAGGCCCAGGCGACUGUUUAUCAAAAACACAGGUCUCCGCAAAGUCGUAAGACAAUAUAUGGGGGCUGACGCCUGCCCAGUGCCGGAAGGUUAAGGAAGUUGGUUAUUAGUUUCCUAAGAAGCUGACGACCGAAGCCCCGGUGAACGGCGGCCGUAACUAUAACGGUCCUAAGGUAGCGAAAUUCAUUGUCGAGUAAGUUUCGACCUGCACGAAAGGCGUAACGAUCUGGGCGCUGUCUCGGAGAGAGGCUCGGUGAAAUAGACUUGUCCCGUGAAGAUGCGGACUACUUGCACCUGGACAGAAAGACCCUAUGAAGCUUGACUGUAUCCUGGAAUUGGGUUCGGGCUUUUCUUGCGCAGCCUAGGUGGGAGGCUAUGAAGGUUCUCUUCCGGGAGAACAUGAGCCGUCAUUGAGAGACCACUCUGGAAGAGCUAGAAUCCUAAUGGUGAUCUUUGAAUCAAGACACUUGACAUUUUCAGGUGGGCAGUUUAUCUGGGGCGGAUGCCUCCUAAAGUGUAACGGAGGUGUGCAACGGUUCCCUCAGCCUGGACGGAAAUCAGGCCUUGAGUGUAAAGGCAAAAGGGAGCUUGACUGCAAGACCUACAAGUCGAGCAGGGGCGAAAGCCGGCCUUAGUGAUCCGACGGUGCCGCGUGGAAGGGCCGUCGCUCAACGGAUAAAAGUUACUCUAGGGAUAACAGGCUGAUCUUCCCCAAGAGUUCACAUCGACGGGAAGGUUUGGCACCUCGAUGUCGGCUCAUCGCAUCCUGGAGCGGUAGUACGUUCCAAGGGUUGGGCUGUUCGCCCAUUAAAGCGGUACGUGAGCUGGGUUCAGAACGUCGUGAGACAGUUCGGUCCAUAUCCGGUGUAAGCGCUGGAACUUUGAGAGGAGUAUUUCAUAGUACGAGAGGACCUGAAAUAACAUGCCAAUGGUAUACCAGUUAUCCUUCCAAGGGUAAACGCUGGGUAGCUAUGCAUGGAGUAAAUAAGAGCUGACAGCAUCUAAGUUCGAAGUUCACCUCAAGAUGAGAGUUCCCCAUUAGGUCGCAGAUAGACAAUCUGUUCGAUAGGACUCAGGUGUAAGGCUAGUAAUAGUUUCAGCCGAGAGUUACUAAAGACCAAUUGAUUUUGAUCU
rnacentral:rRNA from 1 species